rnacentral:tRNA from 1 species
GGCUGUAGCUCAGUGGCAAAGUGCUUGCCUAGCAUGCUCCAGGCACUGAGUUCGAUCCUCAGCACCA